CUCGAUGAUGAAAACGAAUAGGAAGUGCCGUCAGAUGCGAAAACUGAUGAUCCUAUUUUAAUCUGAUU